rnacentral:rRNA from 1 species
AUUGAACGCUGGCGGCAUGCCUUACACAUGCAAGUCGAACGGCAGCGCGGACUUCGGUCUGGCGGCGAGUGGCGAACGGGUGAGUAAUACAUCGGAACGUACCUUGUUGUGGGGGAUAACUAGUCGAAAGAUUAGCUAAUACCGCAUACGACCUGAGGGUGAAAGUGGGGGACCGCAAGGCCUCACGCAGCAGGAGCGGCCGAUGUCUGAUUAGCUAGUUGGUGGGGUAAAGGCCCACCAAGGCGACGAUCAGUAGCUGGUCUGAGAGGACGAUCAGCCACACUGGGACUGAGACACGGCCAAGACUCCUACGGGAGGCAGCAGUGGGGAAUUUUGGACAAUGGGGGCAACCCUGAUCCAGCAAUGCCGCGUGUGUGAAGAAGGCCUUCGGGUUGUAAAGCACUUUUGUCCGGAAAGAAAUCGCGCUGGUUAAUACCUGGCGUGGAUGACGGUACCGGAAGAAUAAGCACCGGCUAACUACGUGCCAGCAGCCGCCGUAA